UGAAUGCAUCUAAGUGGGAAGCCCUGCCCAAGAUGAAUCCUCCCAGGCCGCAAGGCCUCUGAAGGGCCGUGGGAGACCACCACGUGGAUAGGCGGCAGGUGGAAGCGUGGCAACACGUGCAGCCGAGCCGUACUAAGGGCCCGUGCGGCUUGACCG
rnacentral:rRNA from 1 species